UUCCCACAGCCUGUCCUGCCUCCUCCGCCCAUUCUCCUCGCGUCACCACGGGAGCCUCGCCGACGCCUGCUAUUCCUCCUCCCUCGUCUCUGUUCGACGCCGAGGACCAGUUCACCCCACACCUUUUCUCCACCCACGACCUAGGGUUGGGGAGGCUGGGUGUUCUCGCUGGGGUGGAGGAGCAGGGGAGGGCCGGGAGGCCGAAGGUGGGGGAGCAGCGAGGCCGGCGAAUGGAGCAGCGAGACCCGAAUUCUAGGCAUUGUACACAUUGCGGGAUGGAGAAGAGGCCGAUGUGGGGCGCAAGGAGCAGAGGGGCAAGAAAGGUGGGGGUGUGACUUUCAUCUCCUCUCUUCUAAUCGCGACUCUUGCGACCUCGUCAUCGGUGCUCGCUCGGCUGGCGUACGGGGCGGCGGCAGGGACGUUGGCCCUCGGCACGAACUCGAAGCCGAGUCUAGCUGACGAGCCCCGUGCGAUUGUGUGAAGCAAAUGUACGUGGCGAUGCAGGCCAGUUGGUAGUGUAGCAGCCUGCACAUAUGACAGGAGCAGCAGCCAGGUCCAUGGGCGGUUGCUUGCGGAGCAGCGGUCAAGUCACGGGGUACCACCAAUUGAGAAAAUAACUUUCCUUCUUGUGAGAGGGUCCAGCAUCUGAAGAAGAAAUUUUAUUUUCACUUUCAAGACUAUGUGGAUCUUAUCAUAUGGAAGGUUAUGGGAUUGGAUCUCCAUUUUCCAAGAUUCUUAGCUGAUAAGUAUAUUGUGCGGAAAAAUCUCUACUGAAUGACAAAUCCAAGCAAUCGACGAAGAUUUCGUGCUCAACCUCCCUCACAGCCCCAGGGAAGACUAUGAUAACACUAAGAUUAUCAGGAAAGGAUUCAGAGCUUUUUUUUAAUCCAGAUUAUCACACAUGAUGCAAAAUUAACAACCACGACUUUGAAAUAUGGAGAUGAUGCUUAUUAUGUGCUAGAAAUCAAAUAUGUAAAGGAGAAGAUAAUGUUUGCGAAGGAGAGGGGAGAGAGAUACGGGUCGAUUCUGGGUAAACUUUGCUUAAGUUGUUGGAGAAAAUGCUCGAUAGAUCUCAUGGAUGGAUGAGGUUGUGGCAGUAGUUCUCGGGUGCAAUAUCUAUCUUGAUAGAGUGAUCGAUCAGGGCACAUUAGAAGCAGAAAGAAGAGGAAACGUUUGGGCCGUCUAUGGCGUUGAAGAUUCAGUGUUUCUGUCUUGUGUACAUGCACGGCCAGUUCAGUAACUAGAUGGCCUUUUCUACUGUACUGGUGCUGCUACUUUUCACAUGCUAGCUUCUUUGGAAAGCGCCAACAGUGUGUACAACAUGUAAAGAGUCCAUGUUGAAAGAACAGAAGCAGAAGUAUGGAGUUGAUGUAUUAAUGGUCAAUCAAGGAAUUCAGUCUCGAUGAGCUUAACUAAUGAUGUGUGGGUUGAGCCUUA